CCUACGGGUGGCAGCAGUGGGGGAUAUUGCACAAUGGGGGCAACCCUGAUGCAGCGACGCCGCGUGGGUGAAGAAGCGCCUCGGCGCGUAAAGCCCUGUCAGCAGGGAAGAAAAUGACGGUACCUGAAGAAGCAGCCCCGGCUAACUACGUGCCAGCAGCCGCGGUAAUACGUAGGGGGCAAGCGUUAUCCGGAUUUACUGGGUGUAAAGGGGGCGCAGACGGCGAUGAAAGCCAGGAGUGAAAGCCCGGGGCCCAACCCCGGGACUGCUCUUGGAACUGCGUGGCUAGAGUGCAGGAGGGGCAGGCGGAAUUCCUGGUGUAGCGGGGAAAUGCGUAGAUAUCAGGAGGAACACCGGAGGCGAAGGCGGCCUGCUGGACUGCAACUGACGUUGAGGCCCGAAAGCGUGGGGAGCAAACAGGAUUAGAUACCCUUGUAGUC
rnacentral:rRNA from 1 species